ensembl:lncRNA
AGGAGAGGUAAUAUGGAAAUAUGGAGAGGUAGUCAGGGGCAGAUGUGUCCCAGAGAUGUGUAUCUUUGUUCAGUAUUUUCAGUUGAGUAUUUGUACAAUAGUAGGGCACAGAGUAGCUUUCUUUUAGAGUAGUUAUGUUGUCUUGUAGUCUUUUGAGCUUCCGUGCUGAGACAAGUAGGUAUGAUUGCAAAAAGUGUACUUACAGAAAGGUUUUUUUUUUUUUUUUUUCCACUAAAAACACUUAUAAUGGAACAUAAAAAUGUACAUGAUUAUUUAUAAGCCAUCAUAUCUCAUACAGAUAGUAUUUAUGGGUUGUUUGAAUGGUUAAAAUAAGCAGCAAUAGACUGCAAGAAGAAUAUUUAAAGCCAAAAAAACAACAAAUAUAUGCAGCACACAGCAUUCCUGUGCAAAGCAAAUUGGUCUUUUCUCAUUUCUGUUUACAACCAGCUAUUCAUAGACUAAACUCCAGUAAGUUGUGGAGUUUCUGAUGUCCUCUCUCUAUAUACAAACAGUGCAUUCACCAUAAACACAAUGAGGGAGGUAGGAAAUAGAACCCCACAAUAAGACCCUGAAGAACUGACCCCUCACAUGAAGAAGUGGUUGAUAAAGCAAACCAGUAGGAGUGACAAAAGUGGUAGAGGUAUUAACCAUUAACCAUGUCUUAAUAAUUAACUGGUAUUAAUCCAGUUCCAGAUGUCUCCAAAAGGGACCAGCUGCUGGACAAAUCUGAGCCUGUGAGUUUCACCUCUGUGGUAAAGUAUUUAAAAAAGGAUAAAAAUAUUGAACAGCAGCUUUGAGAGGAGGGAGAAAAUAUGGAGGGAAACAGUCAUGAAGACACCAAGCUCAGUGAAGAAGGAGGAAAAGAGAUGUUCCAGGCACCAGAGCAGGAUGUUCCCUGUGAGACUGUGAUGAAGUGUGAUGAAGAAGGUUUGAGCCCCUGCAGCCCAUGGUGUAUCAUAUCAGAGCAGAGCAGAGCAGAGCAGAGAUCUACACUACAGUCUGUGGAGGACUCCAUGCCAGAGCAAGCACACCUGCUUUGAAGUAAACUUCAGUUUUUAGAGAUGAGCUCAUGCUGAAGCAGGGGAGGAGCAUUACAAGGAAGGAACAGUAGAGGCAAAGUGUUAUGAACUGACCACAACCCCAUUCCACUGUCCUCAUUCCCCUGAAUCAUGUAAGGCAGAAGACAUAGAAACCUCAAGAUUGAAGUUGAGCCUAAGAAGAAGAGGUGGACAGGAGAAGGUCCUGUUUGUUGCCUGGGAGAAGAGGCCAAACCCCUCCUCAUCACAGCCUUCGUUCAGGAAAUUGGAGACUGCGGUCAUCAAUGAAGAUACUAAACAAGAUGGACACUAGUACCAAACCCUGGAGGACACCACUUGAAACAGGUUGCCAGCUGGACUUAACUCCAUUAACCACUACGUGUCGGGCAUGGCCCUCUAGCCAGUUCCUUCCCCAAAAAAGGGUAUACCUGUCCAGGCCACGGGCAGCCAGUUUUCCCAGGAGAAUGCUGUGAGAGAUUGUGUCAAAGGCUUGGCUGAAGUCUAGGCAGAGUACAUCAACAGCUUUUCCCUCAUUUAUCAGUCUGGUCACCCAGUUGUAGAAGGAGAUGAGGUUGGUCAAGCAUGACCUGCCUUUUAUGAAGCCAUGCUGGCUGGGCCUGAUCCCCUGGACGCCAUGCACAUGCUGUGUGAUCUCACCCAAGACGAUUUGCUCCAUAACUUUCCCUGGUACUGAGGUCAGGCUGACAGGCCUGUAGUUCCCCAGAUCCUCCUUAAAGCCCUUCUUGUAGAUGGGAGUCACAUCAGCAAGCCUCUGGAACCUCUCCAGAUAACCAGGAGUGCUGGUAGAUGGCCAAGAGCAGCUCAGCAAUCAUCCCUGCCAGCUCCCUCAGUAUCCGAGGGUGCAGCCCACCUGAUCCCAUGGACUUGUGACAGUCCAGAUGGAGGAGAAACUCUCUAACUGUCUCCACCUGAAUCACCAGGGGUGUAUUCUGUAUAGCAUCCCAGACUUCCAGAUCAGGGUGUAAAGUGCCCUGAGGAUAACUGAUCUGACUAUUAAAGGCAGAUGUAAAGAAAGCACUGAGGACCUCAGCCUCUCCUUAUCCUCAGAGGUCACAUUGCCCGCUGCAUCAAGUAAAGGAUGGAAAUUCUCCAAGGUUCUUCUGUUACAUCUAAUUUAUUUGUAGAAGUAUUUCUUAUUCUCUUUCACUGCAGUGGCCAAUCUGAGUUCAAGUCAGGCUUUUGCUUUCCUAACUUCCUAACUGCAUACCUCAGCAACUUCCUUGUUAUCUCCUCCCCAAGUUGCCUGUCCCUUCUUCCAGAGGACACAGACUCGGUUUUUUUCCAGAGUCUCAACAAGAGUUCAUGGUUUAUCCACACCAGUCUUCUUCCCCUACGGCUCGCCUUAUGGCACUCAGGGAGUCCUGUUCUUGUGCCUUUAAGAUUUCCAUCUUGAGGAGCGUCCAGGCUUACUGGACCCCUUCACCCUUAAAGAGCAACUCCCAAGGGACCUGUGCUACAAGCGUCCUGAACAGGUCAGAGUCCGCCCUCUGGAAGUUAAAGAUAGCAGUUUUGCUAGUCACCCUUCUGACAUCUCCAAGAAUAGAGAACUCUACAGUUUCAUGGUCACUCUGCCCAAGACAGUCCCCAGCCUUCACAUCUCCCACCAGUCAUUCACUGUUUGUGAAGAGCUGGUCUAGCAGGGCACCACCCCUGGUAGGCUCUCAUACGAGCUGUGUAAGGAAGCUAUCUUCCACGCACUCUAGAAACCUCCUGGACUGCUUCCUCUGCACUGUAUUAUAUUUCCAACAUAUAUCAGGUAAGUUGAAGUCUCCCAAGAGAAUGAGUGCAGGCGAUUGCAUGACUUCACAAGCUGCUCAUAGAAUGCCUCAUCCAUCUCUUCAUCCUGAUGAGGUAGUCUGUAACAGACUCCCACCAAGACGUCACCCCUACAGGCCUCCCCCCUGAUCCUUACCUGUAGACACUCAACUUCAUCAUUCCCAACCCCAAGCUCUUCAACAUCAAAACACUCUUCAAUAUAAAGGGCCAUACCACCACCCUUCCUUCCUCGUCUAUCCCUUCUGAAGAGCUUAUAGCCAUCCAACACAGCACUCCAGUCAUGGGAGUGGUCCCACCAUUUUUCAGUAAUAGCAACUAGGUCAUAGUUAGCCUGCUGCACAAUCGCUUCCAACUCCUCCUGCUUGUCGCCCAUGCUGCGUGCAUUGGUGUAGAUGCACUUGAGCCAAGUCAUCUGCCUCAUCCCCAUCUCAGGCAUUGUUCCCCCAGGCUCAUCUCUGGUUAACCCUGUUUUUUUCCCUUCCCCUGUCAUAGCUAGUUUAAAGCUCUUUUGAUAAGCCCCGCUAACUCCUGCCCUAGGAUUCAUUGUCCGCUUUGAGAUAGGUGGGUUCCAUGCAGAGACAACAGGCCAGGGGCCAAGUAAACUGACCCAUGAUCAAAGAACCCAACGUUUCUGCCUUGACACCAGCCUCUGAGCCAAUUAUUUAUUGCUUGUGCUUUCCAAGCCCACUCUGUGUCCCUCACUGCCCCUGAAGGUAUAAAGCUAAAGAUCACUUGAGCUCCCACUCCUUGAACUAAGCUCCCUAAACCCCUGCAAUCUCUCUUCAUAGUUUGUAGGCUUCUCAGAGCAAUUUCAUCACUGCCCACCUGAACUAUGAGUAAUGGAAAGGAAUCCGUGGACCUAACCUGCUAGGGGAGUUUCCUGGUUAUGUCUCUGACCCAGGCCCCUGGAAGGCAACACCCUUCCCAGUUGCGCAGGUCCAAUCUACAUAUGGGGCCCUCCAUUCCUCUGAGAAGGGAAUCUCCCAUCACAACCACAUUUCUUUCUCUCCUGACAGAGGCAGUCUCAAGGCGUGGGGGGUGACCACAUUGCCUUAGACUCCUUCCUAGGCAGAUCCUCCAUCACCUCCCUACUCCCCUCCCCUUCAAUUUCUAGAAUCUCAAACCUGCUGCUUAGAGGGAGCUGGGGACACAGGGUAGGCAGGCACGGGGGCCCCCGUGACACCAAGCCAGGACUCUCUUCCAGUUCUCCUCAUCAGACAGGUCUGUCUGACUGUGACAGGGCAGGAGGUCAACCACUUUUCUGGGGAUAUCUCCCUAGCACCCUUCCCUCCAGCAUACCAUCAAGUCACUCCACCAGUCAGUCUCCCGCUCACACUCCCUGAUGGUCCUUAAUCUUUGCACCUCCUCCUUGAGCUCCACGACCAGGCUGAGCAGCUCAUCCACCUGCUCACACCUCACACAUGUGGAAUCCCUGCCACCCUCCCCAGGCAGCAGCAGGCUCAGGCACUCCUUGCAGCCAGAGACCUGAACAGCUACAUUUCUGGGCAGGCCCUCCAUCUGGGUCAGCACACUCUUCUUGGAAUAAGCCCACUGUCUGGUGAAGACCAUGUUUAGGCCUGCAGUCUCAGAGACUGUCAAGAGGAAAGCUGGUCUCCUGAGCAAGGAGGAACUAUACUUACAGUCCUCACCACUUGACCCACCUCCCACACCCACAGCUGCAGCACCAUAUGGGCAUCGUGGGCUGUGCUCACUCACUGAGCUUCCUCAUUCUCAGUGGGCAGCAACAAUGGUUAGUCACCCAGGGAGCUCUGUAGGCAAAAGCUAGCUUCCCAAAGUUAUUUAAAGCUUAUUAUCAGGUGCAAACAUUAAGGGCAGGUGUUUAAACUGUGCCACUAACAUGCUAGCUGCACCCCUUGUUGUCUCAGGAGCCUGCCCCAAAGCUGCUAGCUCCUCAGCACCAGCACAGCACUGUUACUGGCUUCAAAACAGCCUUAAAAAGAGGGUUUUUUUUGUUGGUCUUUUAUAUUUCAGCUUCCUUGUUCUGUGCAGUCUUACUUGCUUUGAGGCUAGUCCCUGCAGCAAAUUUUUGUAUGGUGUAACCAAAAUUUUAUAUACAUGAAAGUAAUUUGUAGCUUUUCUGUACAGAAAAAGUUAUUUAUGGGUUUAACGGGCAUGUAGUGAAACACACAGAAAUAUAGGCCUUGUGUGAAAGCAGAUACUUGAGAAAUGGGGACAUAAGAAGUAGGGUAGAGGACAGGGGAGCACAGAUGUGGGGUGAUUAGAGUCAGCACAAGCUGACUCUGAAAACCCUUUAGCUCUGAACCCUCCAGCAGUCACUUAAAGAAAUGCAUGUCUGGAUCCGAACAAAACUGGCUUCAGUGGUAAUACAGAACAAGGAGCAAGUAUAUAAUUAUGUAAAAUCCAUCAUAUACAGUAAGCGUACAUCAUAUAAAAAGAUUCAUUACAGAAUUGCAGACAAGUGAAGAAAAAGCAAACUAUAAAUUAUGUGUUAACAAGCAUACAGAAAGUGGACCCUAGAGUGAGGAAGCUGAAAACAUAAACAUGAAGGUCCUCCUGGUGGAAUACUUAGAAUGUUGCUUGACUUCUUGUGUUCCACCAAAGUACACUGUUAUCAUUACACAAGGAGAAGAAAAGAGGAACAGUACACCAACAGAAGAACUAGAAGCUAGGAAGUGUGCAUAUAGUAAUUUUAACUGUAUUGCUAUUCUGAAUGUGUUAUUAUUAAUAUAUUUUCUGUAUAAUUGGAUUUGCUUUUUUCAUGUAACAUUUCGAUCUGGACUAAUAUUAAUCCUGUAAUAAGACUGUUAAGAUUUCAGUUAUACAACCUCUUGGCUUUUUAUAUGUUUCCUCUUUUGUUCAUAACAAGAUUUUAAGCAACAGAAUGCUCUCCAGGGCUUGAGCACGGGCAAGUAAAUCGGAAGGUCAUGGGACUUCUUUCUGGGAGUGCUGUGGGUUUUGCAGAAGCUCAAGAAACAGUCAAAACUUCCUUGCUCCUGAAUAAUGAAUGUAGACUGUUUCUCAGUCCAGUAAACACUGCAUUUUUGUAAAGAAAGAAAACAGCUGGUGCAUGAAAUCAAGCUUACUCAUACAUUUCAAGGAAACUUCUCUCAGGAUACAUCUUCAGAUAAACACUGAACUACAAUCCUUUUUUUUAAUUUCCCCCUCCCCCCAACCAAGAAUAUGAGACCUUUUAAGCAGAAGGCAGUAAUAUUUGUUUUGUGUGAGUGAAGUAGUGUGUUUGGCCUAGCAGAAAGACUUCUUAUUCCUCUGGGCUCCCAUAGGCUUGUGGAAUAAAAGUGAGUUGUGCAUCAAUGGUUUUCUGUGGGCUCCCAGACCAUAUCAAACAUCCUAUGACAUGCUCUGCAUUCAGUAUAUGGGAAAUACAGCUAUGCAACCCAGUGCCAGGAAGGGAAUGCAGCUGGGAGAAGAGAAUACAGGGGCUUAAAGAUGCACACAGUAAAUUUACAUUCCAGAGAGUGGUUAAUGGUCAAGAAAAUCAGGAGUUCACUGAAGCAAAAGAGAGAGGAAUGUCCAACUUCUUUUGAUUGAUGGUGAGCAGAAUGCCAAGGAUCAAGAGAAAACAAGCACAAAAAGACAUUUCAGUAGUAAAAACAAGGCAUUAAUAGUGAAUAUCAUGCCUAACACUGAUGAUGAUUUAUAGUCUGGCUCACAGACAAAACCACCAACCUGGUACUGCUAAGAACAUGAGGCAUGGAAAACUCCAAGGUCUUUUUCAAAAAUGAUAGAGUACACAAGAGAUGCAGUUUUUCUUGGAGGUUUGUUUCCUUUUCAGAAUCUCCUGCAAUCAUUCAAUUUUCAAGGCUAUUAAUCCUGAAGAAGCUCUAAUAUGCCAGCUUGAGACCGAAACUGAAAUUAUUUUUGGUCAAGCAAUACAGUUCUAGCUUCUUACAUGAGGCAAACUAAAUCUAACUUCAUGAUGUGAGGUAAUUGGUUAUGAGGCACCUAUGUUAUAGGUGUAAACCUAUAGAAAAACAUUUAUAUGACAGGUUUAUGUUCUGACAGUAAAUAUAUGGCAAAAUCUGUUUUUUUCAGGGAGCACAUAGUUUACAAAUGAUUAUUUAUUUUCCUAAUAAGGAAUUGAUUUCAAAAGAAAUUUAAUAUCUAUGUUUUUUCUUAACUGAUAAAAUGUACACUAUAAAAUGUUCUGCUCAGCAUCUCAGUUCUACCUUUGUCCAAGGAGAUUUGAAUAAGUGUCUCUCAGUUUACCACAUAUUUCAACUAUCAGAUAACAGUCAUUCUAUUAUAUGCCAACUUACAUAUAUGUAAUUUAUUGAGAUGUUACUUAAGAAAAAGAUAUUAAAGAAGACAUUUCAAAAUACUGAUGAUGAUUAGGUUAUUUACCUGAGAGGUUACUUUUGAUGUUUUAGUACCCAUUCUAUAUUAGACAAUGAUAUGAAUAAUUUGAUAGCAGGACCUUCUUAGGAUGCUUAAAGAUUCAACCAUUCCUUUUGACACUGUUCCACUUUAGACAAAAUUCUCCAAAUGUUAUUGAGAUGCAGAACUAGAGUGGCUCUCCAGCCUUCUGGCUAGGACACUCUCCCAGGAGAUGGGAACACGUGGACCACUGCUCUCCCAUAAAUAUUUAAUUAAUUAUACACAGUGGAAGAGUGUCAAUAUGAGACAUUGAGAAAGCCCUGUUAUGUUAGUUUAAAGUUAAGGGCAAGCAUUUAGAAGAGUGAGAUGUGGAUUUGAAACCAUUCAUGGAGAGUGAAGUGAAUCUAGAAUCUUCA